CGCACGCGGGGCCGCGUCGGCGUCUUUUGACGUUCGUCGCUCCGGUGCUGGAACCGACCAUGGUUCCGGCUACUCCCGCGGAGGCUUAACCGGAGAAAGAAAAGGA
rnacentral:sRNA from 1 species